rnacentral:lncRNA from 10 species
AAAAGCGCAGGUCCCCGCCUCGGCAGCCACGGGACACCUGCAUCUGCCAACAAGACUGGAAGCAGGUGAGGCACACAGAGGGGGAGGCCCGCAGCUGCGUGGGAGGAGGGGUGGUCUGAGGGACGUGGGAUGCCGGGAAUGAGGCUGGUUUGCAGGUUGGCGCAUGGACAUUUUCCCAGAAAGGGACAGAGACGGCGAAGUUUGACGGUCUGGAAAGCAGAGACCAGCAGGGCUGACUGCUUGGGAGCACCAAAUAUCCGGACAGCGCCUCUCGGGAGGUCCGAGAAGAGAACCGCGAUCUGUUUCAGCACCGGGGCUCAGGACAGUUCCCAGCGGGCUCCGUUUCGUCUCCAGAACCCUGGACAGCUCCUCCAGCUUGGAAUGCACUCCCUCCACCUCCAACCAGAGCUCCCCACAACUGACCCUGCCUUCUUCUGCAAGCUCCAUUUCAUCAAGGGAAACGAUCCUUAUUGCCUCACCAUUUCCCACGUGAAGUCUGUAUUGACAUUCUCAUAGACCUGGGAUAUUGUGUCUGCAGCACAUAGUCCAAUUAUUUUCAUGUUAUCUACUGACAGGUCUAUUUGUCUCCCUGUUACACUGUGAGCUCCGUGAGGGCAGAAACAAUGUUAGUAUUUUCACUGCUGUGUCCCCAGCGCCUGGUCCGGGGCCCGGCACACAGCAGGCAUAUAAUAAGCAUGUGUUGAAUCAAUAAAGGCAUCAAAGAAUAAACCAAUACAUCAAUCAAUAAAUGAAUGAAUGGCCUCAGCA